UAGUCCACGCCGUAAACGAUGAGUGCUAGAUAUCGGGAGUUUAACUUUCGGUUUCGAAGCUAACGCGUUAAGCACUCCGCCUGGGGACUACGAUCGCAAGAUUAAAACUCAAAGGAAUUGACGGGGGCUCGCACAAGUGGUGGAGCAUGCGGUUUAAUUCGAUGCUACGCGAAAAACCUUACCAACCCUUGACAUGGUGGUCGCGAAUCUUAGAGAUAGGAUUCUUCAGUUCGGCUGGACGAUGUACAGGUGCUGCAUGGCUGUCGUCAGCUCGUGUCGUGAGAUGUUGGGUUAAGUCCCGCAACGAGCGCAACCCUUAUCCUUAGUUGCCAGCAUUUAGUUGGGCACUCUAAGGAGACUGCCGGUGAUAAGCCGGAGGAAGGCGGGGAUGACGUCAAGUCCUCAUGGCCCUUAUGGGGUGGGCUACACACGUGCUACAAUGGCGGUGACAGUGGGACGCGAACUCGCGAGGGUAAGCUAAUCUCCAAAAACCGUCUCAGUUCGGAUUGCACU
rnacentral:rRNA from 1 species